UUUUGGGUCUUGUAAUUGGAAUGAGUACAAUUUAAAUCCCUUAACGAGGAACAAUUGGAGGGCAAGUCUGGUGCCAGCAGCCGCGGUAAUUCCAGCUCCAAUAGCGUAUAUUAAAGUUGUUGUGGUUAAAAAGCUCGUAGUUGAACCUUGGGCCUGGCUGGCCGGUCCGCCUCACCGCGUGUACUGGUCCGGCCGGGCCUUUCCCUCUGUGGAACCUCAUGCCCUUCACUGGGUGUGGCGGGGAAACAGGACUUUUACUUUGAAAAAAUUAGAGUGCUCCAGGCAGGCCUAUGCUCGAAUACAUUAGCAUGGAAUAAUGAAAUAGGACGUGUGGUUCUAUUUUGUUGGUUUCUAGGACCGCCGUAAUGAUUAAUAGGGACAGUCGGGGGCAUCAGUAUUCAAUUGUCAGAGGUGAAAUUCUUGGAUUUAUUGAAGACUAACUACUGCGAAAGCAUUUGCC
rnacentral:rRNA from 1 species